rnacentral:rRNA from 1 species
AAAGGAAUUGACGGGGGCCCGCACAAGCGGAGGAACAUGUGGUUUAAUUCGAUGAUACGCGAGGAACCUUACCCGGGCUUGAAUUGCACAGGACGGUAGCAGAGACGCUACUUUCUUCGGACCUGUGUGAAGGUGCUGCAUGGUUGUCGUCAGCUCGUGCCGUGAGGUGUCGGCUUAAGUGCCAUAACGAGCGCAACCCUUAUUUACGGUUGCCAUCAGGUAAAGCUGGGCACUCCGUAGACACUGCCAUCGUAAGAUGUGAGGAAGGUGGGGAUGACGUCAAAUCAGCACGGCCCUUACGUCCGGGGCUACACACGUGUUACAAUGGAUGGUACAGAAGGCAGCAACCUGGCAACAGGAAGCCAAUCCCGAAAGCCAUUCUCAGUUCGGACUGGAGUCUGCAACUCGACUCCACGAAGCUGGAUUCGCUAGUAAUCGCGCAUCAGCCAUGGCGCGGUGAAUACGUUCCCGGGCCUUGUACACACCGCCCGU